CCUAGACGACACCCGUGAGUGGGGAAGGGUUUGAUCAUUAUUACAGGUACCGUUGGUGACUUGUGGUUCUGUUGGUGACUUUGGGUUCAGACGACAGUGUCUCAGUUGACCUUGGGUUUUCAAAUUGGAUUUGGGUUCUGAGUUUAGACCGAAGCUUCGACCUUGUGAUUCAGUGAUGCAACCAGCCAGUCCAGUCUGCAUCAUGUGCAUCAUAGCAUAUU
rnacentral:lncRNA from 1 species